rnacentral:tRNA from 4 species
AAGUGAAGAAGCAAUAAUGCAAUUAGUUUCGACCUAAUCCUAGACAACAUCUGUCCUUACUUU